GGAAUAUUGGUCAAUGGUCGGAAGACUGAACCAGCCAAGUAGCGUGCAGGACGACGGCCCUACGGGUUGUAAACUGCUUUUAUGCGGGAUAAAGUGCGGGACGUGUCCCUCAUUGCAGGUACCUGAUGAAUAAGGAACGGCUAAUUCCGUGCCAGCAGCCGCGGUAAUACGGAAGGUCCGGGCGUUAUCCGGAUUUAUUGGGUUUAAAGGGAGCGCAGGCUGGAUUUUAAGCGUGUUGUGAAAUGCGGCGGCUCAACCGUCGAUGUGCAGCGCGAACUGGAGUCCUUGAGUGAGUACGAGGAAGGCGGAAUUCGUGGUGUAGCGGUGAAAUGCUUAGAUAUCACGAAGAACUCCGAUUGCGAAGGCAGCUUUCCAGUCCUUAACUGACGCUAAAGCUCGAAAGUGCGGGUAUCGAACA
rnacentral:rRNA from 1 species